AGAAGAAGUGUAGACCACAGCAGUCUGUGCUCCAGUAUGUGAUAUAUGAUGUACUCGGGAACUUCUUGGAUUCCUAUGGAAACAUCUCCCUUUUUUAUAGUCAGAUUUACUCUGGAGAGACAUUCUACAACACUUCUCAAACUGCAUUGGCUUGCACUCCUCUGGCAUUAACUAUAUGCCAGUAAGAAUAGUCUGGGUUUUAUUGACAGAAGGAUAAAACUCUGGGGUCUUAUCAUUUGAGUCCCCAGACAGUCAACUCUGGCCUUGGCUAACAACUUUCCUCCAGACUUAGGAAUACAUCCUGGGUUUCCCAGGAUAUCGUCAUCAGUUUGUAACUCAUUUCAUUGCCCUGACUCUGUUCUUGACCAACCUGCUGUGUAAGAACCAUGGCUUCUAGUGGUUGUUCAAGACUUGGCAGGUGAACUGAACUCUAAAAUGAUGUUUUACAGUAGGACAAAUCUUACUCUGGCUGGAUCUGAAUGCAGCAGCUUCACCUGGGAGGUAGAUUGCAUGUGGAGGAGGAGAGGCAAGAGUAUGCCAGCUCAGUCUGAAACUGGCUUAAGUCCCAAAUCACCAAUAACUUUUCCGAAAGUGAACCCCAUUUCAAUGACCAACCUCAAGCUGACCUUCAGGACUUGGCUUCACAGUCAAAGGGCCAGACCCCCACCAGGAAUGGGAAUGUCUUCAGGUGCACUUGGCCUGCAAACUCAGUCCGGUGGAGAUGGUGGUGGUGAGAUGCAGGGAGAUGGAGAGAAAAAUGGGAGCACCACCUUUCUUUACAAAGCCAAAAGCUACAUCCCCAUUGACCUAGAUGUCAUAAGAGUUUUUUUUCCCCAAAGGGCACCAUGAUGGAGAAUCGGCUUUCCCAAGGACACACAUACCUUUGUCACACCAAGCACCACCUUGUCCUCAGACUGUUCUUGUACUGGCUUUGUUUACAAGCCAGAUUUUUUUUAAAAUGAGAAAAAUCAAAUGUUCACUUAAGAAGUGAAAUUUGAAUAAAAUUACAGUUUCAGGCAAAGCCUAUAUUAUUUUUAAAAUCAGCGAAUAAAGCAAGGGAUAUUAAAUCAUGAUCUUCA
rnacentral:lncRNA from 1 species